rnacentral:rRNA from 1 species
AACAAACGCUGGCGGCGUGCCUAACACAUGCAAGUCGUACGAGAAAGUUGGCUUCGGCCAAUGAGUUAAGUGGCGCACGGGUGAGUAACGCGUGGAUAAUCUGCCCUUCAGCGGGGAAUAACCCAUCGAAAGGUGGGCUAAUACCCCAUAACACUGUUUUACAACUGUCAAACAGUCAAAGAGAGCCUCUGCUUGCAAGCUUUUACUGAAGGUUGAGUCCGCGUACCAUUAGCUAGUUGGUAGGGUAAUGGCCUACCAAGGCGACGAUGGUUAGCUGGUCUGAGAGGAUGAUCAGCCACACUGGAACUGAGACACGGUCCAGACUCCUACGGGAGGCAGCAGUGGGGAAUCUUGCGCAAUGGGGGAAACCCUGACGCAGCAACGCCGCGUGAGUGAGGAAGGUCUUCGGGUCGUAAAGCUCUGUCAGGCGGGAAGAAAUGCAUGGAGGUGAACAGCCGCCAUGCUUGACGGUACCGCCAGAGGAAGCACCGGCUAACUCCGUGCCAGCCGCCGCGGUAAAAC